rnacentral:rRNA from 1 species
GGGUUGUGAGGUUAAGCGACUAAGCGUACACGGUGGAUGCCCUGGCAGUCAGAGGCGAUGAAGGACGUGCUAAUCUGCGAAAAGCGUCGGUAAGGUGAUAUGAACCGUUAUAACCGGCGAUGUCCGAAUGGGGAAACCCAGUGCAAUUCGUUGCACUAUCGUUAACUGAAUACAUAGGUUAACGAGGCGAACCGGGGGAACUGAAACAUCUAAGUACCCCGAGGAAAAGAAAUCAACCGAGAUUCCCCCAGUAGCGGCGAGCGAACGGGGAGCAGCCCAGAGUCUGAAUCAGCUUGUGUGUUAGUGGAACGGUCUGGAAAGUCCGACGGUACAGGGUGAUAGUCCCGUACACCAAAAUGCACAGGCUGUGAACUCGAAGAGUAGGGCGGGACACGUGGUAUCCUGUCUGAAUAUGGGGGGACCAUCCUCCAAGGCUAAAUACUCCUGACUGACCGAUAGUGAACCAGUACCGUGAGGGAAAGGCGAAAAGAACCCCGGCGAGGGGAGUGAAAAAGAACCUGAAACCGUGUACGUACAAGCAGUGGGAGCACCUUCGGGUGUGACUGCGUACCUUUUGUAUAAUGGGUCAGCGACUUAUAUUCUGUAGCAAGGUUAACCGUAUAGGGGAGCCGCAGGGAAACCGAGUCUUAACUGGGCGUUAAGUUGCAGGGUAUAGACCCGAAACCCGGUGAUCUAGCCAUGGGCAGGUUGAAGGUUGGGUAACACUAACUGGAGGACCGAACCGACUAAUGUUGAAAAAUUAGCGGAUGACUUGUGGCUGGGGGUGAAAGGCCAAUCAAACCGGGAGAUAGCUGGUUCUCCCCGAAAGCUAUUUAGGUAGCGCCUCGUGAAUUCAUCUUCGGGGGUAGAGCACUGUUUCGGCUAGGGGGUCAUCCCGACUUACCAACCCGAUGCAAACUACGAAUACCGAAGAAUGUUAUCACGGGAGACACACGGCGGGUGCUAACGUCCGUCGUGAAGAGGGAAACAACCCAGACCGCCAGCUAAGGUCCCAAAGUCAUGGUUAAGUGGGAAACGAUGUGGGAAGGCACAGACAGCCAGGAUGUUGGCUUAGAAGCAGCCAUCAUUUAAAGAAAGCGUAAUAGCUCACUGGUCGAGUCGGCCUGCGCGGAAGAUGUAACGGGGCUAAACCAUGCACCGAAGCUGCGGCAGCGACACUAUGUGUUGUUGGGUAGGGGAGCGUUCUGUAAGCCUGCGAAGGUGACCUGUGAGGGUUGCUGGAGGUAUCAGAAGUGCGAAUGCUGACAUAAGUAACGAUAAAGCGGGUGAAAAGCCCGCUCGCCGGAAGACCAAGGGUUCCUGUCCAACGUUAAUCGGGGCAGGGUGAGUCGACCCCUAAGGCGAGGCCGAAAGGCGUAGUCGAUGGGAAACAGGUUAAUAUUCCUGUACUUGGUGUUACUGCGAAGGGGGGACGGAGAAGGCUAUGUUAGCCGGGCGACGGUUGUCCCGGUUUAAGCAUGUAGGCUGAUUGUCCAGGCAAAUCCGGAUAAUCAAGGCUGAGGUGUGAUGACGAGGCACUACGGUGCUGAAGUAACAAAUGCCCUGCUUCCAGGAAAAGCCUCUAAGCAUCAGGUAACAUCAAAUCGUACCCCAAACCGACACAGGUGGUCAGGUAGAGAAUACCAAGGCGCUUGAGAGAACUCGGGUGAAGGAACUAGGCAAAAUGGUGCCGUAACUUCGGGAGAAGGCACGCUGGUGUGUAGGUGAAGUCCCUGCGGAUGGAGCUGAGACCAGUCGAAGAUACCAGCUGGCUGCAACUGUUUAUUAAAAACACAGCACUGUGCAAACACGAAAGUGGACGUAUACGGUGUGACGCCUGCCCGGUGCCGGAAGGUUAAUUGAUGGGGUUAUCCGUAAGGAGAAGCUCUUGAUCGAAGCCCCGGUAAACGGCGGCCGUAACUAUAACGGUCCUAAGGUAGCGAAAUUCCUUGUCGGGUAAGUUCCGACCUGCACGAAUGGCGUAAUGAUGGCCAGGCUGUCUCCACCCGAGACUCAGUGAAAUUGAACUCGCUGUGAAGAUGCAGUGUACCCGCGGCAAGACGGAAAGACCCCGUGAACCUUUACUAUAGCUUGACACUGAACAUUGAGCCUUGAUGUGUAGGAUAGGUGGGAGGCUUUGAAGCGUGGACGCCAGUCUGCGUGGAGCCAACCUUGAAAUACCACCCUUUAAUGUUUGAUGUUCUAACGUUGGCCCCUUACCGGGGUUGCGGACAGUGUCUGGUGGGUAGUUUGACUGGGGCGGUCUCCUCCCAAAGCGUAACGGAGGAGCACGAAGGUUAGCUAAUCCUGGUCGGACAUCAGGAGGUUAGUGCAAUGGCAUAAGCUAGCUUGACUGCGAGCGUGACGGCGCGAGCAGGUGCGAAAGCAGGUCAUAGUGAUCCGGUGGUUCUGAAUGGAAGGGCCAUCGCUCAACGGAUAAAAGGUACUCCGGGGAUAACAGGCUGAUACCGCCCAAGAGUUCAUAUCGACGGCGGUGUUUGGCACCUCGAUGUCGGCUCAUCACAUCCUGGGGCUGAAGUAGGUCCCAAGGGUAUGGCUGUUCGCCAUUUAAAGUGGUACGCGAGCUGGGUUUAGAACGUCGUGAGACAGUUCGGUCCCUAUCUGCCGUGGGCGCUGGAGAAUUGAGGGGGGCUGCUCCUAGUACGAGAGGACCGGAGUGGACGCAUCACUGGUGUUCGGGUUGUCAUGCCAAUGGCACUGCCCGGUAGCUAAAUGCGGAAGAGAUAAGUGCUGAAAGCAUCUAAGCACGAAACUUGCCCCGAGAUGAGUUCUCCCUGAGACUUUAAGUCUCCUGAAGGAACGUUGAAGACGACGACGUUGAUAGGCCGGGUGUGUAAGCGCAGCGAUGCGUUGAGCUAACCGGUACUAAUGAACCGUGAGGCUUAACCUUACAACGCCGAAG